UGGGUGGGACCCACUUAAGUGAAAAGAGUCAAUGGACUCUUUCUUUUUUUUUUCUUUUCCUUUUCCUUCUUUUCUUUCCCUUUCCCCGACUGCCCUCUCUCUUCUCUUUCUCUUCUUUUUCUCUUCUCUCCAUGGAAACACACCACCACCACUAAGACCCAACCUCCGGCAACCACCAUUUUUGGCAUACGGCGGCUCAUUGGAUUCGCCUUGCUCUGGCGACCUCAACCACCAAGCGGCACCACCCAACUCGCCGUAAGUUGUUCGGAAUAGUCAGUCAAAGUUUUGGUCCGUUAACUUUGACUGUGUUUUCCGGCCAACUCCGACCACCACUCAGCAAGUGGUUGGUACCUUUGGAACCAGCGUGGAGAGAGGAACAAAACCCACUAGGUCAUUCCAGUCAACUCGCCGUUUUUCUCCGGCAAGAUUUUGGGUAUCUCCGCCAUUUUGGAAGCGUUUUUCGGCGACACCGGAGGUCAUUUGGGAAAAGGAGUUGUACUUUCGUGAUGUACUCAUCGAGAGGAUCGUUUUAAUAUAUGCCAUGCAUAUAUUCGUUGACGUUUCCGGUACCGCCACCAACUGCUAUUGUGCACCGCUUGGGAAAAACGUGAUAUUAAAAUCGGACUAAAUCACUCUAAGAUCAUCGUUAAGCUUAGGAGCGUCGCUUUGGGCUCGGAUUAAAUUCUAAGGAGGUAUCUAAAGAGGAGCCUAGUGACGCGAACGUGGAAAAUAUGAAUUAUCGAUGGAGCCAAUGUGUUUAGCCUAUUUUUAUUUCGUGUCUUUGUCUUAUCUUUUGAGCAUUAUAUAUGCAUUCGACUUCGAAUCUAAUGAUCGGUAUAUCUGAAUGAGCUACGAAACAGUUAUGGAUGAGGAAUAGUGGAUGCUAGGUAUUAUUUUGGGUGUUUAUGACUUAUUAAAUUUAACUAUUUGGUGAUUACAUAACUGUGGGAAUAUUAUUGUUUUAUGUAUAAUGAUAAGUGAUCAUACUUUUAUUA